rnacentral:rRNA from 1 species
UACGGGGGGGGGCAAGCGUUGUUCGGAAUUACUGGGCGUAAAGGGCUCGUAGGCGGCCAACUAAGUCAUACGUGAAAUCCCUCGGCUUAACCGGGGAACUGCGUCUGAUACUGGAUGGCUUGAGUUCGGGAGAGGGAUGCGGAAUUCCAGGUGUAGCGGUGAAAUGCGUAGAUAUCUGGAGGAACACCGGUGGCGAAGGCGGCAUCCUGGACCAACACUGACGCUGAGUGAGCGAAAGCCAGGGGAGCAAACGGG